CGUAAGGGGCAAGCGUUGUCCGGAUUUAUUGGGCGUAAAGAGCGUGUAGGCGGUUAGGUAGGUCCGUUGUGAAAACUCGAGGCUCAACCUCGAGACGCCGAUGGAAACCAUCUGACUAGAGUCCGGAAGAGGAGAGUGGAAUUCCUGGUGUAGCGGUGAAAUGCGCAGAUAUCAGGAAGAACACCCGUGGCUAAGGCGGCUCUCUAGUACGUGACUGACGCUGAGACGCGAAAGCGUGGGGAGCGAACAGG
rnacentral:rRNA from 1 species